CGACCCACGACUCCGGGCCCGAGCCUCGGGCGGCCGCGUCUCUUGGGCGGCUCUCUCCUCUCCGCUCUCCUCUCUCCGGCUUUCUCUCUGCCGGCUGCCGUCGCUCCUCGCCCGCCUCGGUUCUGCUCAGUUCCUCCAGCGGGGAGGUGGCCUCUACGGAGGGAGGGCUCCUCUGAGCAUACCUAGAGUGCCGCCCCCGCCCGAACUGACGCCUGGAAACGGAGGAAGGGGCGUUGGGCGUUCCGGCAGGAAAGAAAGCGCUGAGGAAUGGAGAGAGGGGACCGUUGGGGAAACUAGGCAAGUGGGGUUUAUAUAUCUGUGGAAAGUCCAGGGUGGGAGAAAAAAAACUCUUGACUGAUGGAGAUUUGCAAUUGGCCACCUUGAUUAGAAUUUAAUGGUCUUGCAGCUUCAAAGCCUGGCUGCUUUCUGCCUGAGGGGAUCCUUUGUUGGGAGGUGUUAGCUGCCCAUGAUCAAAGAUACAGAAUGGGGGACUCCUGGCUUGACAGCAGUGUGUGCGAAAAAGACCUUGGAGUCCUUGUGGACAACAAGUUAAACAUGAGCCAACAAUGUGAUGCGGCUGCUAAAAAAGCCAAUGGGAUUCUGGCCUCAUCAAUAGGGGAAUAGCGUCUAGGUCCAGGGAAGUCCUGCUCCCCAUGCUCUAUUCUGCCUUGGUCAGACCACACCUGGAAUACUGUGUCCAAUUUUGGGCACCACAGUUGAAGGGAGAUGUUGACAAGCUGGAAAGCGUCCAGAGGAGGGCGACUAAAAUGAUUAAGGGUCUGGAGAACAAGCCCUAUGAGGAGCGGCUGAAAGAGCUGGGCAUGUUUAGCCUGCAGAAGAGAAGGCUGAGAGGAGACAUGAUAGCCAUGUACAAAUACGUGAAGGGAAGUCAAAGGGAGGAGGGAGCAAGCUUGUUUUCUGCUGCCCUGCAGACUAGGACACGGAACAAUGGCUUCAAACUACAGGAAAGGAGAUUCCACCUGAACAUCAGGAAGAACUUCCUCACUGUGAGAAGGGCUGUUCGACAGUGGAACUCUCUCCUCCGGGCUGUGGUGGAGGCUCCUUCUUUGGAGGCUUUUAAGCAGAGACCACAUGGGCCAUCCAGUCCAACCCCCUGC
rnacentral:lncRNA from 1 species